UACGUAGGGUGCAAGCGUUGUCCGGAAUUAUUGGGCGUAAAGAGCUCGUAGGCGGUUUGUCGCGUCUGCUGUGAAAACCCGAGGCUCAACCUCGGGCCUGCAGUGGGUACGGGCAGACUAGAGUGCGGUAGGGGAGAUUGGAAUUCCUGGUGUAGCGGUGAAAUGCGCAGAUAUCAGGAGGAACACCGAUGGCGAAGGCAGGUCUCUGGGCCACUACUGACGCUGAGGCGCGAAAGCUAGGGGAGCAAACAGG
rnacentral:rRNA from 1 species